rnacentral:rRNA from 1 species
GAUGAACGCUGGCGGCGUGCCUAAUACAUGCAAGUCGAGCGAACGGACGAGAAGCUUGCUUUUCUGAUGUUAGCGGCGGACGGGUGAGUAACACGUGGAUAACCUACCUAUAAGACUGGGAUAACUUCGGGAAACCGGAGCUAAUACCGGAUAAUAUUUUGAACCGCAUGGUUCAAAAGUGAAAGACGGUCUUGCUGUCACUUAUAGAUGGAUCCGCGCUGCAUUAGCUAGUUGGUAAGGUAACGGCUUACCAAGGCAACGAUGCAUAGCCGACCUGAGAGGGUGAUCGGCCACACUGGAACUGAGACACGGUCCAGACUCCUACGGGAGGCAGCAGUAGGGAAUCUUCCGCAAUGGGCGAAAGCCUGACGGAGCCACGCCGCGUGAGUGAUGAAGGUCUUCGGAUCGUAAAACUCUGUUAUUAGGGAAGAACAUAUGUGUAAGUAACUGUGCACAUCUUGACGGUACCUACUCAGAAAGCCACGGCUAACUACGUG